GAUGAACGCUGGCGGCGUGCCUAAUACAUGCAUGUCGAGCGAACUGAUUAGAAGCUUGCUUCUAUGACGUUAGCGGCGGACGGGUGAGUAACACGUGGGCAACCUGCCUGUAAGACUGGGAUAACUUCGGGAAACCGAAGCUAAUACCGGAUAGGAUCUUCUCCUUCAUGGGAGAUGAUUGAAAGAUGGUUUCGGCUAUCCCUUACAGAUGGGCCCGCGGUGCCUUAGCUAGUUGGUGAGGUAACGGCUCACCAAGGCAACGAUGCAUAGCCGACCUGAGAGGGUGAUCGGCCACACUGGGACUGAGACACGGCCCAGACUCCUACGGGAGGCAGCAGUAGGGAAUCUUCCGCAAUGGACGAAAGUCUGACGGAGCAACGCCGCGUGAGUGAUGAAGGCUUUCGGGUCGUAAAACUCUGUUGUUAGGGAAGAACAAGUACAAGAGUAACUGCUUGUACCUUGACGGUACCUAACCAGAAAGCCACGGCUAACUACGUGCCAGCAGCCGCGGUAA
rnacentral:rRNA from 1 species